rnacentral:rRNA from 1 species
UACGAAGGGGGCUAGCGUUGCUCGGAAUCACUGGGCGUAAAGCGCACGUAGGCGGAUUGUUAAGCCAGGGGUGAAAUCCUGGAGCUCAACUCCAGAACUGCCUUUGAUACUGGCGAUCUCGAGUCCGGGAGAGGUGAGUGGAACUGCGAGUGUAGAGGUGAAAUUCGUAGAUAUUCGCAAGAACACCAGUGGCGAAGGCGGCUCACUGGCCCGGUACUGACGCUCAUGUGCGAAAGCGUGGGGAGCGAACGGG